rnacentral:ncRNA from 1 species
UUUUAAGGAAAAACAGAUGAGACAGAUGGUCCUUGCGAACGUUUACUGUCUCUGAUUUCUGCCCAGUACUCUGGACGUUAAAUCGUAGUAAUUCGAAUAAGCGCGGGUAAACGGCGUGAGUAACUAUGGUUCUCUUAAGGUAGCCAAAUGCUUCGUCAGCCAAAUACUAUGGUUUCUCCACUGUAUCAA